rnacentral:rRNA from 1 species
UACGUAGGGGGCAAGCGUUGUCCGGAAUUAUUGGGCGUAAAGAGCGCGUAGGCGGUCCGAUAAGUCGGCUGUGAAAGUCAGGGGCUCAACCCUUGAAAGCCGGCCGAUACUGUCGGACUAGAGUCCGGAAGAGGCAAGUGGAAUUCCCGGUGUAGCGGUGAAAUGCGCAGAUAUCAGGAGGAACACCGGUGGCGAAGGCGGGUCUCUGGGCAACAACUGACGCUGAGGAGCGAAAGCGUGGGGAGCAAACAGG